GAAAUACAAUGUAAUUCAAAUACAAUUAAAUUGAAUACAAUGCAAUUGGAAUUGCUUCCUUGCAAUUAAAAUAGAAUGCAAUUCAAAUACGAUGCAAUUGGAAUUGCUUUCUUGCAAUUGAAAUACAAUGUAAUUCAAAUACAAUGCAAUUGGAAUAUAAUAUAUAUAUUGCUUUAAUUCAAUAACACCGCGAUUCGUAAUCGUACGAUUACGUAUAAUUAAUAUUACGUAAUAUAUUAAUUACAGAAAUUACAAUUUAAUUUCCUUUCCUGCAUAUCUUUCUAACAUAUUCUAAUUUGAAACGCCCUCGUCCGACUACUAAUUGACCUUUAACAAUAAAUCCGCGUCGACGAUGAGAUGAUGAGAAUUCUCAGAAAAUCCACAACGCGAGAUCAUCUGCCUUCUAAUUAACCGUGCAACUUCGUUCGUUUAAUCUCGCAAACGGUUUGCAAACAAUUUGAGAUCGUCGAGUUAAGCGAGUCGCAAGCUCCGCGAAGAGGACAAUGCAGUGUAGAGAGAUACAGAGCUCUGGAUUUUUGUUCGAAGAAUAAGAUCGUUAUUCGAGACACAACAGUUUCGACUUCUUUGUUUUUUUUUUAAAUAACAAACACAAUCAUCCUGUACAAAAUACACGACCCUGCCAACCCCGAUUCACCUUCUUCUUCUUCUUCUCGGAAUCGUCAAGGAACGGACGUCCCGACACACAAGGCGAACCCUUCUUUUUCACGAUGUAUGUACCUAAUUAAAGCAAAUUUACGAACCGAGACUCAUCGUUUCAAAUCCGAGGAAACCCAACGACAUCGCAUCUAGCAUCGGUUUUUCCUUCCUAACGACGAAAAAACCGUGCAUCGCUCACGCGUGUACCGCACUGUUCCGUGUCCUCCGGGCUUCGUCGGGGUUCGAACUAGCAAUGGGCGACGUUGAACAGAAGCUGACGAUGCUAAGAAGAGCAUCGAUCGCAAAAGGAACAUCGAAUUUCCGUAGCCGAUAUUUUCGCAAAAAGCAGCGGCAAAUAUCGAUGGCACAGUUGAAAGAACGUUUUCCAAUUUGUGCUCAGUCCAUUAAAUGUUCGGAGCCAAUUCAGGGUUGCGGAGCCGGUUACUGUGUGGGCUGGCCGAUUACCGUGCCUUUGGUUUUAUUAUUUUCGGGCGUAAUUGACUUUAAGUUAAUCACGAGAUACGAGACGUAUUAAACUGUUUUUUUAAUUUGUGGAAUCGAACGAUAUAAAUGAAUAAACAAUUUUAAUACGUCUUGAUCGAUGAAUGUUAAGUUAAUUAUGCUCGAAAGGGGACCGAAGGGUUCAAUGGCGCGAUCUGAGCGCGAAUUUUAGGGAGAAAUCACUUCUACUUGAACGUUCAAUGGGGUUCCGUUGAAUGUUGGAACCAAUUUAGGGUUGCGGAGCCUGUUACUGUGGACUGACCAAUUACUGUGGGCUGUCCAAUUACUGUGCCUUUGAUUUAUUUUCGGGACAAUCAACUCAAUAUUUAUCGAACGAGACGUAUUAAACUUUUUUAAUUCGGAAAGUAAUAAAAUAAGAGAAUAAAAAUUUUUGAUAUAUUUUAUUCGAUAAAUAUUAAGUUAUUAAUUACGCCCUAAAGUAAAUGAAAGGGUUCAAUAGCGCAAUCCGAGCGCGAAUUAGAAAGAAACGAUACCCUCCCCGCGCGCGCCCGAGCGGAAAUUAAAGCUCGAUGGAAAUGCCUGUGGCGAGGGGGGUAGGGGGGUAGGCACGCUGCCCCGACACACAGCCCCGCAUCGUUUCGUUUUACGAAUAACGCCGACUUUUUCUCCUUCUAGGUAUCAACAACGUCCGUCGAAUCGGAAAGAAGUUCCCGUGUCCGAACUGCCCGAGCGGCUUUGGCCAACAGCCGAGCCUGACCAGGCACUUGAAGUACGAAUGCAUGCAGGAGCCGCGCUUUCAAUGCCCGUACUGUCAUCAACGAAGUAAAAAGACGUCCCACAUUUAUUCGCACAUCCGAAAGAAACACGCGAAUUUCAAUGUGUUCGUCGUCGACAUAUUCGGUCAGCCCGACAAGCUGUAAUGCGCGCGCGCGCGCAAGCCACCGGGCGGACGCUUCGAUUUUCCGGGUGAAGAUGAUCCCUCCUCCGCUUUCGGAUACUACACCGAUUGGUACAGCUACUGCCCGUGGAACGUGAAACCGUAUCAGUGUUUGAACUGUCCGAACAAUUACUCCACGAAAGUCCAUCUGAAACGGCACGUAGUCAGCGCCUGCAACGGGAAGGAGCCGCGUUACAAGUGUCCCUAUUGUCCCUAUAAGUCCCGCUAUCCGUCCGACACGUACAAGCACGUGAAACGGCUCCACGAGCUGCACGACGUGUUCGCGAUCGACGUGGAGAACCAGAGGACCUACUUCCCGAAAGACGCGGCGCCGCUGAUCCCGGACAAGUUGAUAUUUUGAACGAACCGAUGAUUGGCGCAGACGUGCGCGCGCGGCAUGUACAGACAACUUUAGGAAAUUCUGCGACUAAAAGUGUACUUAAAACCGAU